rnacentral:rRNA from 1 species
CGAAUUCGCCCUUCGGGGUGCAGCAGGCGCGAAAACUUUACAAUGCGGGAAACCGUGAUAAGGGGACACCGAGUGUCAGCAUCAUAUGCUGGCUGUCCAGGUGUGUAAAAUACACCUGUUAGCAAGGGCCGGGCAAGACCGGUGCCAGCCGCCGCGGUAACACCGGCGGCCCGAGUGGUGAUCGUGAUUAUUGGGUCUAAAGGGUCCGUAGCCGGUUUGGUCAGUCCUCCGGGAAAUCUGAUAGCUCAACUAUUAGGCUAUCGGGGGAUACUACCAGACUUGGAACCGGGAGAGGUAAGAGGUACUACAGGGGUAGGAGUGAAAUCUUGUAAUCCCUGUGGGACCGCCUGUGGCGAAGGCGUCUUACCAGAACGGGUUCGACGGUGAGGGACGAAAGCUGGGGGCACGAACCGGAUUAGAUACCCGGGUAGUCCCAGCCGUAAACGAUGCUCGCUAGGUGUCAGGCAUGGCGCGACCGUGUCUGGUGCCGCAGGGAAGCCGUGAAGCGAGCCACCUGGGAAGUACGGCCGCAAGGCUGAAACUUAAAGGAAUUGGCGGGGGAGCAC